AUGCAGGAUAAGUUACAGAUCAGCUGUGUAGUGCUGGUUCGUCGUUCCCCCUGCACAUAGUAACUUGUUUCUUACUAUCCCUGUCUGUCUGCAUUCCCACAGCUUGCAGGGACGCUUGGUUUCAAACAU